rnacentral:rRNA from 1 species
CCUACGGGUGGCAGCAGUGGGGAAUAUUGGGCCAUGGGCGCAAGCCUGACCCAGCAACGCCGCGUGAAGGAAGAAGGCUUUCGGGUUGUAAACUUCUUUUCUGAGGGACGAAGAAAGUGACGGUACCUCAGGAAUAAGCCACGGCUAACUACGUGCCAGCAGCCGCGGUAAUACGUAGGUGGCAAGCGUGAUCCGGAUUUAUUGGGUGUAAAGGGAGUGUAGGCGGGAAAGCAAGUCAGAUGUGAAAACUCAGGGCUCAACCCUGAGCCUGCAUUUGAAACUGUUUUUCUUGAGUGCUGUAGAGGCAAUCGGAAGUCGGUGUGGAGCGGUGAAAUGCGUAGAUAUACGGAGGAACACCAGUGGCGAAGGCGGAUUGCUGGACAGUAACUGACGCUGAGGCGCGAAAGCGUGGGGAGCAAACAGGAUUAGAUACCCCUGUAGUC